ACGGAGCUAGACGCUGAGGACGUAGCUUGCUAUUGAAUCUUGUUUAGCUUAGUGGCGGACGGGUGAGUAACGCGUGAGCAACCUACCUUUCAGAGGGGGAUAACGUUUGGAAACGAACGCUAAUACCGCAUGAUAUUAUUGGGCAGCAUUGCCUGAUAAUCAAAGGAGCAAUCCGCUGAAAGAUGGGCUCGCGUCCGAUUAGGUAGUUGGCGGGGUAACGGCCCACCAAGCCGACGAUCGGUAGCCGGACUGAGAGGUUGAACGGCCACAUUGGGACUGAGACACGGCCCAGACUCCUACGGGAGGCAGCAGUGAGGGAUAUUGGUCAAUGGGGGAAACCCUGAACCAGCAACGCCGCGUGAGGGAAGACGGUUUUCGGAUUGUAAACCUCUGUCCUCUGUGAAGAUGAUGACGGUAGCAGAGGAGGAAGCUCCGGCUAACUACGUGCCAGCAGCCGCGGUAAUACGUAGGGAGCAAGCGUUGUCCGGAUUUACUGGGUGUAAAGGGUGCGUAGGCGGCUUUGCAAGUCAGAAGUGAAAUCUAUGGGCUUAACCCAUAAACUGCUUUUGAAACUGCAGGGCUCGAGUGAAGUAGAGGUAGGCGGAAUUCCCGGUGUAGCGGUGAAAUGCGUAGAGAUCGGGAGGAACACCAGUGGCGAAGGCGGCCUACUGGGCUUUAACUGACGCUGAGGCACGAAAGCGUGGGUAGCAAACAGGAUUAGAUACCCUGGUAGUCCACGCUGUAAGCGAUGAUUACUAGGUGUGGGUGGACUGACCCCAUCCGUGCCGGAGUUAACACAAUAAGUAAUCCACCUGGGGAGUACGGCCGCAAGGCUGAAACUCAAAGGAAUUGACGGGGGCCCGCACAAGCAGUGGAGUAUGUGGAUUAAUUC
rnacentral:rRNA from 1 species